GCCUACGGGGGGCAGCAGUGGGGGAUAUUGCACAAUGGGGGGAACCCUGAUGCAGCGACGCCGCGUGGGUGAAGAAGCGCCUCGGCGCGUAAAGCCCUGUCAGCAGGGAAGAAAAUGACGGUACCUGAAGAAGAAGCCCCGGCUAACUACGUGCCAGCAGCCGCGGUAAUACGUAGGGUGCAAGCGUUACUCGGAAUCACUGGGCGUAAAGAGCGCGUAGGCGGGAUAGCAAGUCAAGGGUGAAAUCCCCGCGCUCAACGUGGGAACUGCCUUUGAAACUGGCAAACUGGAGUGUGUGAGAGGAG
rnacentral:rRNA from 1 species